AUUGGUGCAGGUAAAUAGUACGCUGUAUACACAUGCAAUCGAAUUAACGUUUAAGCGAUAUGUAAUAUCGUCGACCAUGUGGCCAUCUUCGGAUGGUUUUUCUUU
rnacentral:sRNA from 1 species